ACUCAUACCUGGCAGGGGAGAUACCAUGAUCAUCAAAGUGGUUUUCCCAGGGUGAGGCUCAUCUAUUGCACUUGCUGGUUUUCCAGGUGGGCUCCAGGAAGCAGGUCCUGGAAAGCCAGCAGUGCAGAAUGGU
rnacentral:snRNA from 1 species